GAUGAACGCUAGCGGCAGGCUUAAUACAUGCAAGUCGUGGGGCAGCAGGUUUGUAGCAAUACAGAUGCUGGCGACCGGCAAACGGGUGCGGAACACGUACGGAACCUUCCUUUGAGCGGGGAAUAGCCCAGAGAAAUUUGGAUUAAUACCCCAUAGUAUAAUGAAGUGGCAUCACUUUAUUAUUAAAGAUUUAUCACUCGAAGAUGGCUGUGCGGCUGAUUAGGUAGUUGGCGGGGUAAAGGCCCACCAAGCCUGCGAUCAGUAACUGGUGUGAGAGCACGACCAGUCACACGGGCACUGAGACACGGGCCCGACUCCUACGGGAGGCAGCAGUAAGGAAUAUUGGUCAAUGGAGGCAACUCUGAACCAGCCAUGCCGCGUGGAGGAUGAAGGUCCCCUGGAUUGUAAACUUCUUUAUAUGGGACGAAAAAGGCUUUUCUAAGUCGUACUGACGGUACCAUAUGAAUAAGCACCGGCUAACUCCGUGCCAGCAGCCGCGGUAAUC
rnacentral:rRNA from 1 species